GGGAUCGCAAGACCUUGCGCUGAUUGAGCGGCCGAUAUCAGAUUAGCUAGUUGGUGAGGUAAAGGCUCACCAAGGCGACGAUCUGUAGCGGGUCUGAGAGGAUGAUCCGCCACACUGGAACUGAGACACGGUCCAGACUCCUACGGGAGGCAGCAGUGGGGAAUUUUGGACAAUGGGGCAACCCUGAUCCAGCCAUGCCGCCGUGAGUGAAAGAAGGCCUUCGGGUUGUAAAGCUCUUUCGGCCGGGAAGAAAUCGCAUGGGCUAAUACCCUGUGCGGAUGACGGUACCGGCAUAAGAAGCACCGGCUAACUACGUG
rnacentral:rRNA from 1 species